rnacentral:rRNA from 1 species
UACGGGGGGGGCAAGCGUUGUUCGGAAUUACUGGGCGUAAAGGGCUCGUAGGCGGCCAACUAAGCCAGACGUGAAAUCCCCAGGCUCAACCUGGGAACUGCGUCUGAUACUGGAUGGCUUGAAUCCGGGAGAGGGAUGCGGAAUUCCAGGUGUAGCGGUGAAAUGCGUAGAUAUCUGGAGGAACACCGGUGGCGAAGGCGGCAUCCUGGACCGGCAUUGACGCUGAGGCGCGAAAGCCAGGGGAGCAAACGGG